CCUCCCCGCCGCCCGCGCGCACCUACCCGCGCCCGGGACGCUCAUUUUCCUUCUCUCGCCACGAGUUCACCUGGGACUUUGGAAAUAACUGCGCUCCAGCCGUGUCAUUUGCUGGGGGUGGGUGGCGACGCCUGAGGAAGUGAACUUAUUUUAUUUUGUUCCUUCACAAAGGCUGGCCCGGGCGGCGCCUUUCACGCGAGGAGCCUGCGGCCACGGCCACCCGGGCGGAGGCGCCGCGAGUGCCAGGCAGCACCUCGGGCCCGAGGCGACGAUCGUUUCACAGAAAACGCACCGCCCCGAGUGUCUUAUUGCUGUGAUGAAAUGGAAAUUUAAAUAAAAGGUCGAACACGUGCGUUCACUGGGAAGUAUUGACAUGGGUGUUACAUCACCAGCAGCCAAUCAGAUAGCGCCAGUGGUGUUUAUACUUCUACAACCACCUUGUGUGAAAGGUAAUGCAGAAGACGCACGACCUGUGCCCUUCAAGGCCAUGAACACUCGUGGCCAACCUCGGACGAGAAGUCAGGCAGCUCAGCAAUGGAGCUAACAAAAUAAGCAAAGUCAGCUCAUGAGCCACAGAAACCUCCGUGCACACUCUCUCUCGAGCCUCUGGACCACAGAACUCCUGGGAGGAAGGGGACGUGAACGGGGAACCUCUCCCUCCGGCUGCUGGCAGUGGCCAGGUCUCUUUUUAAACUCGGAAAUAAUCCACUUUGGAGGAUUUCGUGAUGGACUUUUAUCGAGCCCUACUAUGUUCCAGGCCCUGCACUAACCUUAGCAGAACACAGGUGCGAAAAAGGCUCUCACAGCUCCCAACAGUGAGUAAAAAGUGGUCAGAUGAGGAAGCCAGUAUUUACUAUGUAGCGAAGAAGUGGGGCACAGAACGGGGGACACUGGCCUCUGUGAGGGAGACUUCGCAAAAGGAGUUUUAUUUAGUCGUAGACUCACAUGGAUUCAGGAAUGAUAUAAAGAGAUCCUAUGCACCGUUUGCCGGUGUCACCCAAUGGUAACGUCCUACAAAGUCACUGUACAAUACCACCAGAAUGUCGACACAGGCGUGCCGGCGUCACUCAGACUUCCUCAUCCGUGUGUGUGCGGGUGGCGGUGUUCAUCAUUUCACCUGGCGUGGCUCCACCGUCACGGUCGAGGUCCAGGAUCCCUUCACAAGGACCCUCUUACCGCUCCUUAUGACCUCCCC